rnacentral:tRNA from 1 species
GGGCCUGUAGUUAAACGGUAUAACGUACCCUUCGCAUGGGUAUAUUGGGGGUUCAAUUCCCCCCAGGUCCA